rnacentral:lncRNA from 1 species
CAGCAGCAGCUCCAGAAGUAGGUCCUUCAGCAGCUCCAUCAGUUUCAGCAGUAUCAGCAGCAAAUCCUCCAGCAUGUGUAGCAACAACAGCAGUAUCAUCCACCUUAAUCGAGUUCUUUUUCUGCCUCUUCCUCAGAUCUCUCAGUAGUGCCACACAUUUUCGCACUGGUACAGCUUUUAUCUGAUCUGAGCUCCAGAGACUGGAGAGUGUAGAGAGCUCCAUGCUCAGGUUUAAUGGC